AUACAUCUAAGGUGAGUGUGUGCGUGCCAGUGCGUCAUAGUGUCCAUAGUCCAUAUUACAAAAAUUCCCUAAAUACAUUCUAUGGCCCCUUUGCCAAGCUACAAACCAAUGGUAAAAUAUUACAUCACCGAAUGAAUUACAAUUUGCAAAAAAAGAAAACUAAACUAAUGGAGACAAUAGUGAAGAUGGUGAAGUGCUAUGAAGUGAUCAAUAUGAAAGGAAAUGUUAGUAGAAAAUGGUAAAAAAAGAAAGAAUAUGGCAUGAAGCGAUGG
rnacentral:lncRNA from 1 species